UUAAAAGUAAUGAUGGAACAAAGUAAGGUAUAUACCGCCUAAAGAGAGUAUCGGUUAUUGAGCUGUGAGCCGAUACGGUAAGGAUUUAUUUGAAAUUUCAUUCCGGAGCUGCAUAGGUGAAAGCGGUUUGCAAGUAGUCUGUGACGGGUAGUGCCGUUAUACAUAAUUGAGUGCCGAUAUUUUAUCGGAAGUCGGGUGGUACCGCGGAGUUUGAAUUUACACACUUCGUCCCUUAU
rnacentral:ncRNA from 1 species